rnacentral:lncRNA from 1 species
GGCCAGCCUCCUGGCUGCCUCUGUCCACUCUCCGUUCUCUAGCUCAUUAACAUUCUUGACAUUUGACUUGAAGGUAGUAUUUCAGAAGACUCGGAUGCAGCUUUUGUAAACAAACAUAAUAUUCCUGGGGUCCUGGUCAGUUUUGUGCCAACUUGACUCAAGCUGGUGUUGUUUGGGAAGAGGAACCUCAACUGAAAAAAUGUCGCCAUCAGAUUGCCUGUAGCUUAAUGUCAAGACAAACACAUGGAAAAUGUGCAAAGAAUUUUCUGAAGAAUAUAUACAAAUAGUCAACAAACACAUGAAAAGACACCCAACAUCACUACUCAUCAAGGAAACACAAAAGAAAGUCACUCUGAACCCAGCCAGAAUGUCUACAAUCAAAAAGACUAAAGGCAACAACUAUUGGCAAGUUGCAGGUACCCACCAUUCCACUUACAGAUUCUAUUAAUUUGAAU